rnacentral:rRNA from 1 species
GACUCUUGGCAACGAUUUCUCAGCUCUCGCAUCGAUGAAGAACGUAGCGAAAUGUGAUACUUGGUGUGAAUUGCAGAAUCCCGUGAACCAUCGAGUCUUCGAACACAAGUUGCGCCCGAAGCCAUUAUGCCGAGGGCACGUCUGCCUGGGCAUCA